AGCCUUGCCCGACCAAGAGAGGUGAUCUAGGAGUUCCAAUCAUUGACUGCACAAUCAAUAACACCACCUUCCCUUACACAGCAGGUAUAUGAUGAAUUAUUUGAUUUACCUUUAUACCCAACACAUAUUUAGUUGCAGAUGGCAGAUCAAUCAUUAAGAUUUCCUAGAAGGAAUGGUCAAAGAUGUAAUGGUAAGAAUUCAAGAACAUUAUAUUCUUACAAAUUUUCUAGUACUUGACAUGUAGAGAGACGAUAAGAUCCUGAUCCUCUUGGGAAGGCCAUUCCUCUACAUAGCCAAAGCCAACAUCUACAUCGGAUCAGGGCAUAUCCUCUUCAACCUACCCACCGAAAAGGUACGCUGACAAUUUAGAACACUAUGUAACUGUGAGCAAACGAGGAAGGAAUGCAACAAGAGAAGACGCUGAGCCCACCAUUAGGUUGCCCGGCCUCACUACGGAUUGGAAGACCUCCCUGGCAAGAUCGUGAAGUAUGAAGAUCACCUUAUGAUGGAAGAAGAGAACACGCACACACCCCAAUGGAGUGAGUGGGCCGCAGAAGCUAAAAGGAUGGACCAGAUCGCAAAGAAAGAGAAAGAAGAUAUCUUAGCCCGAUUAGAAACCUAUGAGAAAGAGAACAAAACUGAAGAGUUGGGACUAUAGAGAGAAGAAGCAAAAGAGACAGAAGCAAGAUGGGAGGAAGACGCACGUACCACAUCACCACAAGACGGGGAGUUGACUGAGGUUACCUUAGACAAUGAACCCACUAAGUAAGUCCUCUCCACUAUCUAAGUCCUGUCGGUAGAAUUUAAAUUCCGUACCCUAGCCAUAAGGUCAGAAUAGUAGUUAUCUAGUUAAAUUAGCAUGCAUCAGUAAUUUGCUUUAAUACUCUUAGUAGCAUAUUUAUUUCUCUUUGCAUAUUAAUACAAAAUACAAACAAAUAUUUACUGCUUUAAUUACAUCAUCAUAAAUACCAAAAUCCCAUGUGAAUAAACUUAUGGUAACCCCUUGGGAAUAUUUACUGUGGUGGCAUAAAAAGUUAUAUAGCAUUUAUAUUUAAUUUCUGCAGCAUAAAUGGAAAAUUCAAAAAAAAAGAAGAACAGAAAAGUGAAAUCCUGCUUAAAUCAGACAACAUCAAAAUUAGCUCAUAAGAAUAAUCAAUUGCUCAUUGGCAGACCGCUAACUCAUUAUUAAAUUCGAGCCUUGAGUUUUGGUUUUCUUGUUGGAGUAUGACUAUGCAGGAAUAAUAUCAUAACAAGGAGAGAGUCUAUCGGUGGCACCUACCAGGUUGGCACUAGCUAGCUUGCUCUAAAGGACAUCUACACAAAGUAUUGCAAACAUCCAGCUUGGGGGAGGAGCAUCCCCUAGUUAUCAGGUAAUUAUACCUGAGGGAUUAUCGAGUCUAUAUAUGUAACACCCUAAAGUUUGCAAGUAUUUAAAAUAGGAGAAUUUAAUUUAAUUUUGUAUUUUUUAUGCUCAUGAAACAUAGGAAAAUAAUAUUUUUUCAUUAAAAUAAAAGUUAUCAUAGAACUUAGCAACAUGGAUGUGCAUUCAUGCUGGAGCAUUUGUACUUUUGUAUUGUGUGAUUUUGAGCAAGGUUCAAAAUUGUUUCAAACUGAUUUGAAAAUAGUUUAAAGAUAAAUAAACAAAAAAAAUAAAAUAGAGAAAGAAGAAAACCUCCUUUCCUCGCCCAGCAGAAGCCUAGCCAAACAUUCCUCCUCUCUUCUUCACGCCGUGGGCAAGCGCCCAGCCCAGCUCUCCCGCGGCCUGCCUUUCUUUUUCCUCAGCCCAGCUUCUCAGAGCCAGCCCAGCAGGACGGCCUAGGGCCCAGGUCGCAUGCACCCUCCCCUCUCCUCCUUUUCCUCUGACUGACAGCUCGGCCCCGUGUACAAACUCGCUGACAGGUAGGUCCUACGCGUUAGCGUCAUGAUAUCGUUUCCUUCAUCUUCCCCAACUCGCGAGCAGAAUGGACUCUGCUCGGGACCGAGCCCCAACCCCGGUUUCCAUGGGAUUUGAUGAAGGGAGCCCCAAUUGACCCCUUAAAAGCCUUGUAACCCUCCCUGCGAUCCUCUUUCGCGUCUAGCACAGUCGGGAAGCCCUAAUUGCCCUGUUUCGCCGUGCAUCGGAUCUCGCUGAGCUUGCGUUAUCCGCCGCCACCGUGGACCUCCCUACCCAUUGCUGACUUGACAAAUUCGAGUCCUUGUCGAGCUUUGCGUUGGGGUAACGAAGUUUCGGAGCCGCUUCUCUUCUUUUUCUUCUGCUUGGGGUGCUCGCUAACUCGGCC
rnacentral:lncRNA from 1 species